GAUCCUGGCUCAGAGUGAACGCUGGCGGUAGGCCUAACACAUGCAAGUCGAACGGCAGCACAGUAAGAGCUUGCUCUUAUGGGUGGCGAGUGGCGGACGGGUGAGGAAUACAUCGGAAUCUACUCUGUCGUGGGGGAUAACGUAGGGAAACUUACGCUAAUACCGCAUACGACCUACGGGUGAAAGCAGGGGAUCUUCGGACCUUGCGCGAUUGAAUGAGCCGAUGUCGGAUUAGCUAGUUGGG
rnacentral:rRNA from 1 species